AUGUAUCUUGAAAAAUUAACUCCAGAGAAGGUUACUGCCUUAGAAUUGCCAACUGGGACUCCCUUACUAUACAUAUAUAAAGAGGGUGGAUUUAUUAGAAGAGGAAGACUCGUGGGAUCCCAAGAGGCUGGCAUGUAUGCCCACACCAAAAGUCUUGCUGUUUACAGGGAAAAAUUGGAUGAGAUGUUCCAUUAACAAGCUCAAAGGCAAGUUUCAUGU